AGCGGCGGACGGGUGAGUAACGCGUGGGUAACCUGCCCUGUACACACGGAUAACAUACCGAAAGGUAUGCUAAUACGAGAUAAUAUGCUUUUAUCGCAUGGUAGAAGUAUCAAAGCUUUUGCGGUACAGGAUGGACCCGCGUCUGAUUAGCUAGUUGGUAAGGUAACGGCUUACCAAGGCGACGAUCAGUAGCCGACCUGAGAGGGUGAUCGGCCACAUUGGAACUGAGACACGGUCCAAACUCCUACGGGAGGCAGCAGUGGGGAAUAUUGCACAAUGGGCGAAAGCCUGAUGCAGCAACGCCGCGUGAGCGAUGAAGGCCUUCGGGUCGUAAAGCACUGUCCUCAAGGAAGAUAAUGACGGUACUUGAGGAGGAAGCCCCGGCUAACUACGUGCCAGCAGCCGCGGUAAUACGUAGGGGGCUAGCGUUAUCCGGAAUUACUGGGCGUAAAGGGUGCGUAGGUGGUUUCUUAAGUCAGAGGUGAAAGGCUACGGCUCAACCGUAGUAAGCCUUUGAAACUGGGAAACUUGAGUGCAGGAGAGGAGAGUGGAAUUCCUAGUGUAGCGGUGAAAUGCGUAGAUAUUAGGAGGAACACCAGUUGCGAAGGCGGCUCUCUGGACUGUAACUGACACUGAGGCACGAAAGCGUGGGGAGCAAACAGGAUUAGAUACCCUGGGUAGUCCACGCCGUAAACGAUGAGUACUAGCUGU
rnacentral:rRNA from 1 species